rnacentral:rRNA from 1 species
AUCGAACGCUGGCGGCAUGCUUUACACAUGCAAGUCGAACGGCAGCGCGGGCUUCGGCCUGGCGGCGAGUGGCGAACGGGUGAGUAAUGCAUCGGAACGUGCCCAGUAGUGGGGGAUAGCCCGGCGAAAGCCGGAUUAAUACCGCAUACGACCUGAGGGUGAAAGCGGGGGACCGAAAGGCCUCGCGCUAUUGGAGCGGCCGAUGUCGGAUUAGCUAGUUGGUGGGGUAAAGGCUUACCAAGGCGACGAUCCGUAGCUGGUCUGAGAGGACGACCAGCCACACUGGGACUGAGACACGGCCCAGACUCCUACGGGAGGCAGCAGUGGGGAAUUUUGGACAAUGGGGGCAACCCUGAUCCAGCCAUGCCGCGUGCGGGAAGAAGGCCUUCGGGUUGUAAACCGCUUUUGUUCGGGAAGAAAUCCUCUGGGCUAAUACCCCGGGGGGAUGACGGUACCGGAAGAAUAAGCACCGGCUAACUACGUG